rnacentral:rRNA from 1 species
UACAGAGGUCUCAAGCGUUGUUCGGAUUCAUUGGGCGUAAAGGGUGCGUAGGCGGCGCGGUAAGUCGGGUGUGAAAUCUCGGAGCUUAACUCCGAAACUGCAUUCGAUACUGCCGUGCUUGAGGACUGGAGAGGAGACUGGAAUUUACGGUGUAGCGGUGAAAUGCGUAGAUAUCGUAAGGAACACCAGUGGCGAAGGCGGCUCACUGGCCCGGUACUGACGCUGAGGUGCGAAAGCGUGGGGAGCAAACAGG